AAAUGUGUUGGCUUUUAAUUUUGCGCUUUAGAGGUUACUGAAACUGGUUUUAAAAGAUUUAAAGACAUCGCGGCUGUGUGGAAGCGCGUGCUGACAAAACUCUGACCGAGGAAGUCAUCAGGCAUGACACUGCUCAGAUGGAGUGGAAGAAGAAGAGGAGGAGUUUACGGCUGAUAAAAGGACAAAUGAUCUGAGGCGUUACCACAGAAACGCACAGACCGUAUGACUAGCCUGAUUGGCCGUGGGCUGCUGUUUAUCCAACACUACUUUCCUUAUGUCUCAGCUGUGCUCUCAACACCGGCUCACUGAUCGUCUCUUUGAUGUGAAGCCUGCAUCAGCACUGAGAGUAAACCAGGCUUUGCUGCUGGAAGAAGGGCAGGCUUGACCGAGCGCUCCUUCUUACAUACUUCUGGUUAGAGGAGUGUUUUAUACGGCGCUCCGUACAACUGUGGCACAGAUGCCCAGGCCAUCUCCUCUCUGCACCUCUCAGAGGGCGGCUGAGACCUCAAAAAGCCCUCUCCCUUCUUCACCCUCUACAUCUCCGUCCUCACCUUCAUCUGCUCCCUCUUCCCCCUCUUCUCCUUGCUCAACCUCUCCUAGAAGAAUGGGAACGGGAUAUCGCGAGGACGAGGACGGCAGCCAUGCUGGGAACAAUCGGGUCGGGAACAAAGCAGGAGGGGACGGUGUAUCAUCAACCUCAUCAUCUCUGGCUCAGUCAUUGCUCUCUGCACCUCCUUCGGCUCCUUUACAUCGUCUGUCCUCAUCACCCCGUCUUUACGACGAUGACCAGAGAGAGGGCUUGGACACGGAGAUAUAUGACCCCUUUCAACCAACAGAGGGAGAGGGUUUACCAGGCAUAGCAGCCGGAGACGAAGGAGAUAAGUACGACCCCUUUGAACCCACCGGAUCACCAGCAUCAGAGAAAGAUAUGGAUGGGGAGCAAGACGGAGAGGAAGAAAGUUCGUUCAACAGCAUACGGAUAGCAUGCGACAUAAAGGACACUAAAGAGGUGGAGCUGGAGACAGCUCCCGGGGACGAGGGUCCACCUCCGGACUCGACAGAGGCGGUAGAGCGACUGUUGGUGUCUCAGCACACGGCCACACAGGUGAACAGGAUCAAGCACAUGAGACAGCGAGCAAAAGACCGAAGAGAAGAGGAUGACUCUGAGCACUCGGAAAUAGAAGAAGGAGAGAUUGUGGGUGUCGCUGAGAGCAGAAGGGAAAGAGAGAUUGAGAUAAGAAGGGAGGUGCUGCUUCCGUCCUCGGGGAGUCCUUCUUUCUUGCAAGGGGGAGGUCUCAAACCUGAGAGGAUCUUGCGAGUCCUGGACGGUGAAGGAUUUGUAUCGGUUCGAGCAGAGGGUGAAUGGGACCACCAACCGGUGCCCCCUAUUGGCAUGGGAGACCUGAGAAGGAAACUCACCAACAGGCGAAAACAGAGAUUCAGGUCUUGCCCUUCUUCAGCAUCCAUAUCGCCGCCUCCUGCGUCUGUCCUACCCAUACCUUCUCCCUCCCCGCCGGCGUCCCAACCCCAGACCACGGAGAAGGUAAGGAGUUGCAGAUCUUCCAAAAGCUCCAAGGAGAGGGACCGGCGCAAGCUGAAAGGCCAGGAAAAAGAGAAGCGCAAGAAGAGGAAAGAGGACAAAGGGGAGUCGGAAAGAGCGAGUGGAGAGAACAAGGAGAGGGAUCAUGAAAGGAGGAGCAGAAGAGAAGAAAAAGAGAAGGACAGGAGGAGGAGCAGCAGAAGUUAUAGCCAAACAAGGAAGAGCACGCAACACAGCACUCCUGAGCCAGCGUCACACUCCCGUAAUACCUCUCGACACGCACACAGCCGCAGGUCCUUGUCCAGCCCCUUGGAAGGCCUACACAGAGGGAGGGACCGUGACCGAGAUCGGGACAGAGACCGGGAAAGGGAUCGAUACCGAGACAGGAGGAGAGAUAACCGGGAAAGAGAGAGAGAUAAAGACUCCAGGAUGAGAGAAGGAAGGAAGAGAGAUCGGGACGAAGGAAACAGGAGGUCAAGUAGCCGAGAGAGAGGGGAGGCAAAAAGGAGAAGAGAAAGCAGUGAUAGACGAGACAGGGAGAAAGAAAGAGGGCGGGAAAGGGAGCGAGACAGGAGAAGAGAUGGACGGCCUGUCGUACCUCCGUCUAUUCAGGACCUGAACGGCUCGGACCUUUUCGCAAUCAAACGUACCAUUACUGUUACCACUACACCCACCACUACCUUGAUCCCUACCUCUCCUUCCCACGCCCAGGAUCGAGCCCGGAGUCCUACGCAAGGCUCGGACAAAGCCCGCAAGCGCAAGAGGAAACGGAGGAGACGCUCUGAUGAGGAGGAGGAGGAGGAGGAGCGGAGGAGCAGAUCUCGUCCCACCUCUCUAAGCCCUCGCCGAUACCAUGGCUAUGAAUCAGACCGGCUCUCGGACCACCCCGAGCCUGACAUGCUAUCUUUGGAUGGAGAGGCACUGGACUCUGAUUACCCUUCACUCGAGGACUCUCCUCUGCUCCCUCCUCCCCUUGAACCUCCUCUGCCAAGCCCCAAACUUAAAUCCACAGCUCCAAAAAGUAACCGGCACCAUCAGAAGAAAUCCCGAUCUAGGAGCAAAAAACUGGGCCAGUCUGAGUCGUCCACUUCCUCAUCUUCUCACAGACCCAAAGCGAGCAAAAGUAAAAGCCUUUUGCCCUCACUGUCCUCACCUCUUUCUGCGUCAUCUGGCAACACUGCUUCCCUUCCUCUCACUGCUUCUUCAUCCUCUGCUAAAAGAGUACGGAAGACCGGGAAAGAAAAACCAAGCAAGAAAGAAUCGGGUCGCUCAGGAAGAUCCAAGAAGCUUGGAGGAAGCAGUAGGAAGGGUAAACUACAGUCUAAAGUCUCAGUGCUGGUCCGGGAAGGAGUAAGCAGCACCACGGGAAACAGUGGUAAAAUGGGUAUUGAUCUCAUUGGACCUGGUGGAACAACAGGACCCUCAGUGGUGGGUGGGUCUAUAGCUGUGGUUUUCCGUCGGGACAACGAAAGCCGAUCUCCGUUCCUGAAGCCCUGCUCAGAACCGCUUUCCCUGCCUGGUAGAGUCAAAGAUUUGAACAAGACUGGCAAGCAACGGAAUACCCUUUCAUCCCUGUCCUCAACUAACACGACAGGACUCAAGUCAAAGAAAGCCAAACCAAGCUCCACCACCUCCACAUCGUCAUCCGCUUCCUCGCCCACAUCAUCCUCAGCAGCAAAGCGCAGACGAAGGCCAGGAAAGAAGCCCCGGGAGAAGGGUCUAGCAGUUGACGGGCCCAAUGCCAAAGGUGCCAACAGCAGCGCUUUGGGAUCUGGUUGGACUGGAUCUUCAGAAAUUCAGCCUUUAAGUGGAAUCGGUCCAAAACCAUCAAGUCCACCCUCCACACAUCCUGGGCCCACACCUUCAUCCUCUUCUUCCUCAUCAUCAUCAUCUUCAUCUACCAGCAUUCUUCCCCCAUCAUCCUCACCCCCACACACUCCUCCAUUGUCUUUACCCCCAUCUCGAGACACUAGAGAAUCUUCCCCAGAUUCUCAGACUGUGGACAGCAGCUGCAAGACCCCUGAACCUUCUUUCCUUUCAGAAGAGUGCCCUGUUCAGUCCCAGUCCACCCUGCUUGUGCCUGCAAAGUCACCUCCUAGCCCACCACCCUCAAGAGGAGAUGGAAUUUCACAGUCUGUCUCCAAGCUCCUCCCACUGGAUGACCCGAAGACCUCACCACCCUGCUCCGCUUCAUCAGCCUUGGCUGCAGUUUCUCUUGCUCAUUCCAUUCCUCCUCUGUCUGUCGAACCUUCCUCGUCCUCCUCAGCUUCUGUGUCUUCAUCGACGGUCAGUAAGCCUCCGCCCCCUCCUCCUCCACCCUCUGCCGUGCCACCUUUGCCCUGGAGUCUGCAGACAGGCGUGGACUGCACCGCUGGAGGCGUAUUAGCAU
ensembl:lncRNA